CUCCACUGUGAGGCUGUCCAUAAUUUGAGGGCCAAGAUCCUUGCCUGUUUAUCUCACUAAGGCACUUCAUGCAUGUCAGUCAGCACAGUAGAGGGAUCAAGCUCUCAGUCUGCAAUCAGACGGGAUGGGUUCUAGCCUCACCUUGUUCCUUUAUUAGCCAUGUUCUUAGGAAGUUCCAUAAGCAGCCUCAGUCUCAGAGCAGAGGUGUCUGAUUGGCCUAGACUUGAGACUCCUUAAACUUUAAUAAACAUUUGAAACACCUAGGAGUCUUACAUAGAAUUAAGAUUUUGGUUCAGGAGGUUUGGAAUGGGACCUGAGAUUCUGCGUUUCUGACAAGUUCCAGGUUGUUGUCACUGCUGCGCGUCUCCGGACCACACUACCUGUCAGAUUCUCUGUCUUCAGGAUUCCAGGUGAUUCAUCUGCCUUCAAAGCUACCCCAGUCCUGCUUGACCCUUCCAGGACUCUCAACUGUGAUUUUUGGCUAGAACAAGAAGCAGAAGCUUGACACUAUAGAAAGAGUUUUCAAUCAGGAAGACCUGGGUUCAAAUCCCAGCAGUACUUCUAAGUAUCUACUCAAGAGAAGCACUUACCUGCAUGCAGUAUGGGUCGUGCAUGCAAAUUUUCACUGCAAAACUGCCUUUUAUAAUUAAAGACAAUUGAAGUCAACCUCAGGGUGUAUCAAUAGGGGAAAGAAUAAAUAGGAUAUGGUUUAUAUGAUGGAGUAAAACACAGCCCUCAAAGGAAUGAAUUGACAUCAGUUGGAGAGGUGGAUCUCAAAGACACAUAUUGUUGAAUAAAAAAUAUGAGUUGUUGAGAAAUCCAUUUAAAAGGAUACCAUUUCUGUAAAAAAAUCACAGCAAAUGCCAUGUAUUUUAUGGAUACAUUUAUGUGCAUGUAAAGUAAUAAAAAGAGGUCUAGAAGAACAGGAAUGACAUUCAUAAUGCUAUCUGAGGCGGAAGUCAAAGGGACUUUAUCUGCACUGUUCUAAUUUUCUAAAAGGCAAAUGAACUGAUUUAUUAUAAGAAGAAAAACUCUGCCAGUGUGACCUUUGAAAAAUAAUAUACACUUUUCUGGCCAGGCACGGUGGCUCACGCCUGUAAUCUUAGCACUUUGGGAGGCCGAGGUGGGUGGAUCACGAGGUCAAGAGAUCGAGACAAUCCUGGCCGACAUGGUGAAACCCCGUCUCUACUAAAAAUACAAAAAUUAGCUGGGCAUGGUGGUGUGCGCCUGUAGUCCGAGCUACUCGGGGGGCUGAGGCCGGAGAAUCGCUUGAACCCGGGAUGUGGAGGUUGCAUUGAGCCGAGACUGCACCACUGUACUCCAGCCUGGUGACAGAGCACGACUCCAUCUCAAUAAAUAAAUAAAUAAAC
rnacentral:lncRNA from 10 species